UACGUAGGGGGGCUAGCGUUGUCCGGAAUCAUUGGGCGUAAAGCGCGUGUAGGCGGUCCGGUAAGUCCGCUGUGAAAGUCGAGGGCUCAACCCUCGAAUGCCGGUGGAUACUGUCGGGCUAGAGUGCGGAAGAGGCGAGUGGAAUUCCUGGUGUAGCGGUGAAAUGCGCAGAUAUCAGGAGGAACACCUAUUGCGAAGGCAGCUCGCUGGGACGGUACUGACGCUGAGACGCGAAAGCGUGGGGAGCGAACAGG
rnacentral:rRNA from 1 species